rnacentral:rRNA from 1 species
AUACGGAGGAUCCGAGCGUUAUCCGGAUUUAUUGGGUUUAAAGGGAGCGUAGGUGGAUUGUUAAGUCAGUUGUGAAAGUUUGCGGCUCAACCGUAAAAUUGCAGUUGAAACUGGCAGUCUUGAGUACAGUAGAGGUGGUCGGAAUUCGUGGGGUAGCGGUGAAAUGCUUAGAUAUCACGAAGAACUCCGAUUGCGAAGGCAGCUCACUAGACUGUUACUGACACUGAUGCUCGAAAGUGUGGGUAUCAAACAGGAUUAGAUACCCUGGUAGUCCACACAGUAAACGAUGAAUACUCGCUGUUUGCGAUAUACAGUAAGCGGCCAAGCGAAAGCAUUAAGUAUUCCACCUGGGGAGUACGCCGGCAACGGUGAAACUCAAAUGAAUUGACGGGG